CCAAUAGCGUAUAUUAAAGUUGUUGCAGUUAAAAAGCUCGUAGUUGAAUUUCGGAAUCUGUCCAUCGGUCGGGCUUCACUGUCCGUACUGGUGUGGUGGGUUCUUACCUUCUGAAUAACCAGCAUGCCAUUCACUUGGUGCGUUGGGGAAGCAGGACUAUUACCUUGAAAAAAUUGGAGUGCUCAAAGCAGGCUAGUGCCUGAAUACAUUAGCAUGGAAUAAUAAAAUAGGACGGCAUGGUUCUAUUUUGUUGGUUUCUAGGAUCACCGUAAUGAUUAAUAGGGAUAGUUGGGGGCAUUAGUAUUCAAUUGUCAGAGGUGAAAUUCUUGGAUUUAUUGAAGACUAACUUCUGCGAAAGCAUUUGCCAAGGAUGUUUUCAUUAAUCAAGAACGAAAGUUAGGGGAUCGAAGACGAUCAGAUACCGUCGUAGUCUUAACCAUAAACUAUGCCGACUAGGGAUCGGACGAUGUUAAUUUUUUAAUGACUCGUUCGGCGCCUUACG
rnacentral:rRNA from 1 species